rnacentral:pre_miRNA from 1 species
AGUGGAAUUGCUGGGUCAUAUGGUAAUCCUAUGUUUAGCCUUUUGAGGAACUGCCAGACUGUUUUCCAAAGCAGCUGCACCAUUUUACAUUUCUACCAGCAGU